UACUAGUGCAUUAUCUUUUUAGGAGCGCUACCUUUCUUAAGUAUCUGAUAUUUGAGUAGGCAUAAUAUCCCAACUUUACCAUCAAAAAUAUUGUUUCCAGCAGCACGUUCACUCUCUUUUAUCGCUUUAUUCCUCCUGCAUCCUCUUGAGAUGCUGCAAUUUC